rnacentral:misc_RNA from 1 species
GAUGAAGAACGUAGCGAAAUGCGAUAAGUAGUGUGAAUUGCAGAAUUCAGUGAAUCAUCGAAUCUUUGAACGCACAUUGCGCCCCCUGGUAUUCCGGGGGGCAUGCCUGUCCGAGCGUCAUUGCCGCCCUCAAGCACGGCUUGUGUGUUGGGCCCCCGCCCCCCGGCUUCGGGGGGCGGGCCCGAAAGGCAGCGGCGGCACCGCGUCCGGUCCUCGAGCGUAUGGGGCUUCGUCACCCGCUCUGUAGGCCCGGCCGGCGCCCGCCGGCGACCCCAAUCAAUCUUUCCAGGUUGACCUCGGAUCAGGUAGGGAUACCCGCUGAACUUAAGCAUAUCAAUAAGCGGAGGA